rnacentral:tRNA from 1 species
GCCACUUUAGCUUCGUGGUAGAGCGUCUGCUUCGGAAGCAGAAGGUCGCCAUUUCAAUCCUUUCAAGUGGCU